rnacentral:rRNA from 1 species
GACGAACCGAGCGAACGUUGUUCGGAAUCACUGGGCGUAAAGGGCGCGUAGGCGGCCUGUUAAGUCGAACGUGAAAUCCCCGGGCUCAACCCGGGAACUGCGUCCGAUACUGGCAGGCUUGAAUUCGGGAGAGGGAUGUGGAAUUCCAGGUGUAGCGGUGAAAUGCGUAGAUAUCUGGAGGAACACCGGUGGCGAAGGCGGCAUCCUGGACCGAGAUUGACGCUGAUGCGCGAAAGCCAGGGGAGCAAACGGG